CUGCACCAGGACACGCUGAUCGGAUAACAUUCAGAUCAGAAGCGCGUUUACACUUGUCUUUUCAAUGUGUAUGUGGACAACAUUCGAAUACAGUGAUUGACCAGAUAAAAGAGUGACUGGAGAACGUGGAAGGGGAGAGAGACUGGAUGGAGAACUCAUUCGUGCUCGCCUAGUCUGAAAGCCAGAGAAAUCAGAGGAACUGAGUAAUUGUGAGACUGGCGACUGUCUGAAAGCGCAGACAACGCAACUUUUGUGUUUUAUGAUUGUUUUCAUUGAAUAAAAAUGCACCACCGACCCUACCCUCUUCCUUACUUACUAAAAAC
ensembl:lncRNA